AUUGAACGCUGGCGGCAUGCCUUACACAUGCAAGUCGAACGGCAGCACGGGUGCUUGCACCUGGUGGCGAGUGGCGAACGGGUGAGUAAUACAUCGGAACAUGUCCUGUAGUGGGGGAUAGCCCGGCGAAAGCCGGAUUAAUACCGCAUACGAUCUACGGAUGACAGCGGGGGACCUUCGGGCCUCGCGCUAUAGGGUUGGCCGAUGGCUGAUUAGCUAGUUGGUGGGGUAAAGGCCUACCAAGGCGACGAUCAGUAGAUGGUCUGAGAGGACGACCAGCCACACUGGGGCUGAGACACGGCCCAGACUCCUACGGGAGGCAGCAGUGGGGAAUCUUGGACAAUGGGCGAAAGCCUGAUCCAGCAAUGCCGCGUGUGUGAAGAAGGCCUUCGGGUUGUAAAGCACUUUUGUCCGGAAAGAAAUCCUUGGCUCUAAUACAGUCGGGGGAUGACGGUACCGGAAGAAUAAGCACCGGCUAACUACGUG
rnacentral:rRNA from 1 species